GGGAACUUGGAUGGAGGCUCGAGGGGCCCGUGGGCAGGGUGGGCUGCGCACAGACAUCCCCUUACAACCCGAAUUUCCAUCUGGUCCAGCCCUCUCGUCUUGUAGGUGAGGAAACCGAAGGCCUGAGGGAGAACUGACUUGCCAGGAACCUCUCUUAAAGAGAAUUAACAAAGUGUGGUUAUUAAAGGAGAAAUGAGUUGGGAGUCAGACCUGGAAGCCCACACCCUUGGUUAAGACAUUAUACCACCUUGAGUCUGGCCUGUUGACUGAGGGUGAGCCACUCCAUCCUCGUCUGAUUGUGGGGUCUUGACCUCAAGGGGUUUCCUGCAGGAAGAAGCAAAUGGGUUUGCUUUCCUAGCUCUGUCCAGUACCUUAGGGACCCUGAGGACUGGAGAGAUUCUUGGAGAGCCAUCUGGUGUAUAUCAUGGGUGGGCCUUUUUUGAAGGUCAGUCUGCCCAGUGGGCUGGCUCAGCCCCAAUGAACUGUCUUGAAUCUUUGGAGUUGUCUGUGUACUUUUAAGGGCUUCUCAUCCUUGCACCAAAAGAUCCCCUGGAAAUUAGGUGGGAAAACCUUAACUUUUGUGGGGCCUUGUGUUUGUCUUAAAAGUUCAUGCACAUGGCCAGAUGUGGUGGCUCACACC
rnacentral:lncRNA from 1 species